rnacentral:lncRNA from 1 species
GUAGCUGAAUCCAGGCCAGAACUAACAUUUGCCCAAGACUGGGUCCCAAAAAGAUGUAGAAUUUGUUUGAAUUUCAGACAUAACCAGGAGACAAAAAGGAGAAGCCACAAGAUGCUCUCCCACCUUCUCCAGCAAGAGGCAACCACCUACCUACCUUCACCUUUGUUACUACCACCAUCACCUAUAAAAAGUACAGCUUUGGCCUUGAAAUGUUGGGUGUGUGUCAAUGCAAGAGUUACGUUGGUAUGCCUUGCAGUUCUCACUUUGAAAUAUGGAACCAGUCCUUUAUGGAAUGAGCUUUGCUGUGCUUAA